GAUGAACGCUGGCGGCGUGCCUAAUACAUGCAAGUCGAGCGAACGGACGAGAAGCUUGCUUCUCUGAUGUUAGCGGCGGACGGGUGAGUAACACGUGGAUAACCUACCUAUAAGACUGGGAUAACUUCGGGAAACCGGAGCUAAUACCGGAUAAUAUUUUGAACCGCAUGGUUCAAAAGUGAAAGACGGUCUUGCUGUCACUUAUAGAUGGAUCCGCGCUGCAUUAGCUAGUUGGUAAGGUAACGGCUUACCAAGGCAACGAUGCAUAGCCGACCUGAGAGGGUGAUCGGCCACACUGGAACUGAGACACGGUCCAGACUCCUACGGGAGGCAGCAGUAGGGAAUCUUCCGCAAUGGGCGAAAGCCUGACGGAGCCACGCCGCGUGAGUGAUGAAAGUCUUCGGAUCGUAAAACUCUGUUAUUAGGGAAAAACAUAUGUGUAAGUAACUGUGCACCUCUUGACGGGACCUAAUCCGAAAACCACGGCUAACUACGUGCCAGCAACCGCGGUAAUACGUAAGUGGCGAGCGUUAUCCGGGAUUAUUGGGCGUAAAGCGCGCGUAAGCCGUUUUUUUAAUCUGAUGUGAAAGCCCACGGCUCCACCCUGGAGGGUCAUUGGAAACUGGAAAACUUGAGUGCAGAAGAGGAAAGUGGAAUUCCAUGUGUAGCGGUGAAAUGCGCAGAGAUAUGGAGGAACACCAGUGGCGAAGGCGACUUUCUGGUCUGUAACUGACGCUGAUGUGCGAAAGCGUGGGGAUCAAACAGGAUUAGAUACCCUGGUAGUCCACGCCGUAAACGAUGAGUGCUAAGUGUUAGGGGGUUUCCGCCCCUUAGUGCUGCAGCUAACGCAUUAAGCACUCCGCCUGGGGAGUACGACCGCAAGGUUGAAACUCAAAGGAAUUGACGGGGACCCGCACAAGCGGUGGAGCAUGUGGUUUAAUUCGAAGCAACGCGAAGAACCUUACCAAAUCUUGACAUCCUUUGACAACUCUAGAGAUAGAGCCUUCCCCUUCGGGGGACAAAGUGACAGGUGGUGCAUGGUUGUCGUCAGCUCGUGUCGUGAGAUGUUGGGUUAAGUCCCGCAACGAGCGCAACCCUUAAGCUUAGUUGCCAUCAUUAAGUUGGGCACUCUAAGUUGACUGCCGGUGACAAACCGGAGGAAGGUGGGGAUGACGUCAAAUCAUCAUGCCCCUUAUGAUUUGGGCUACACACGUGCUACAAUGGACAAUACAAAGGGCAGCGAAACCGCGAGGUCAAGCAAAUCCCAUAAAGUUGUUCUCAGUUCGGAUUGUAGUCUGCAACUCGACUACAUGAAGCUGGAAUCGCUAGUAAUCGUAGAUCAGCAUGCUACGGUGAAUACGUUCCCGGGUCU
rnacentral:rRNA from 1 species